rnacentral:ncRNA from 2 species
AUAUUUCUUCAGGGCAGGGUGCAAUUCCCGACCGGCGGUAAAGUCCGCGACUCGCUUUUGCGAUUGACAUGGUGUAAUUCCAUGACCGACAGUAAAGUCUGGUAUACAGAAGAACUAA